GACGAACGCUGGCGGCGUGCUUAACACAUGCAAGUCGAACGGAAAGGCCCCUUUGGUGGUACUCGAGUGGCGAACGGGUGAGUAACACUUAAGUAACCUUCCCUUGACUUCGGGAUAACUUCAGGAAACUGGGGCCAAUACCGGAAAGGAAUCCUUUCUGCAUGGUGGGGGUUGGAAAGCUUCGGCGGGUUUGGAUGGACUCGCGGGUUAUCAGCUUGUUGGUGGGGUAGUGGCUUACCAAGGCUUCGGCGGGUAGCCGGCCUGAGGGGGCGACCGGCCACAUUGGGACUGAGGUGCGGCCCAGACUCCUACGGGAGGCAGAAGUGGGGAAUAUUGCACAAUGGGCGGAGGCCUGAUGAAGCAACGCCGCGUGCGGGAUGACGGUCUUCGGGUUGUAAACCGCUUUCAGCAGGGGCGAAGCUUGUGGUGACGGUACCUGCAGAAGAAGCACCGGCUAACUACGUG
rnacentral:rRNA from 1 species